UAGUGUUACAGCUCUUUUAGAAUUUGUCUAGCAGGUCUUCCGGUCUCUACUGGAAGGCCCCU
rnacentral:snRNA from 1 species